rnacentral:rRNA from 1 species
CCUACGGGAGGCUGCAGUAGGGAAUCUUCCACAAUGGGCGAAAGCCUGAUGGAGCAACGCCGCGUGGGUGAAGAAGGUCUUCGGAUCGUAAAACCCUGUUGUUAGAGAAGAAAGUGCGUGAGAGUAACUGUUCACGUUUCGACGGUAUCUAACCAGAAAGCCACGGCUAACUACGUGCCAGCAGCCGCGGUAAUACGUAGGUGGCAAGCGUUAUCCGGAUUUAUUGGGCGUAAAGGGAACGCAGGCGGUCUUUUAAGUCUGAUGUGAAAGCCUUCGGCUUAACCGGAGUAGUGCAUUGGAAACUGGGAGACGUGAGUGCAGAAGAGGAGAGUAGAACACCAUGUGUAGCGGUGAAAUGCGUAGAUAUAUGGAAGAACACCAGUGGCGAAAGCGGCUCUCUGGUCUGUAACUGACGCUGAGGUUCGAAAGCGUGGGUAGCAAACAGGAUUAGAUACCCCAGUAGUC